rnacentral:tRNA from 1 species
GGGGGUGUAGCUCAGCUGGUUAGAGCGCCGGCCUGUCACGCCGGAGGUCGCGGGUUCGAGUCCCGUCACUCUCGCCA